rnacentral:siRNA from 1 species
ACACAAUAGGUGAAGGUGUACGA